CCUACGGGCGGCAGCAGUGGGGAAUAUUGCACAAUGGGGGGAACCCUGAUGCAGCGACGCCGCGUGGGCGAGGAAGUACUUCGGUACGUAAAGCCCUAUCAGCAGGGAAGAAAAUGACGGUACUUGACUAAGAAGCCCCGGCUAACUACGUGCCAGCAGCCGCGGUAAUACGUAGGGGGCUAGCGUUAUCCGGAUUUACUGGGCGUAAAGGGAGCGUAGACGGGGUGCCAAGUCUGGUGUGAAAGGCCGGGGCUCAACCCCGGGAAUGCAUUGGAAACUGGCAAGCUGGAGUGCCGGAGGGGAGAGCGGAAUUGCUAGUGUAGCGGUGAAAUGCGUAGAUAUUAGGAGGAACACCAGUGGCGAAGGCGGCUUGCUGGACUGUAACUGACGUUGAGGCUCGAAAGCGUGGGGAGCAAACAGGAUUAGAUACCCCAGUAGUC
rnacentral:rRNA from 1 species